GCGACACCCGGAAACAGCGAGUAUCUGGCUUCGAACCAGAGGGUCGGGAGUUCAAAUCUCUCCGGGCGUACCA
rnacentral:tRNA from 1 species